rnacentral:rRNA from 1 species
UACGGGGGGGGCAAGCGUUGUUCGGAAUUACUGGGCGGAAAGGGCUCGUAGGCGGCCAACUAAGUCAGACGUGAAAUCCCUCGGCUUAACCGGGGAACUGCGUCUGAUACUGGUUGGCUUGAAUCCGGGAGAGGGAUGUGGAAUUCCAGGUGUAGCGGUGAAAUGCGUAGAUAUCUGGAGGAACACCGGUGGCGAAGGCGGCAUCCUGGACCGGUAUUGACGCUGAGGAGCGAAAGCCAGGGGAGCAAACGGG